UUACUCCUCACAUCCUGCGACUUCUGUACUCCUCACUCUCAAUCCCUCAGUCAAACCCUUUAUUCAUUUCCCAAAACCCGAGCAGCAGCAGAGGCGGCAGCCGGCAACUGUUGCUGUCAUCAAAGAUGCAGAUCUUCGUGAAAAUCCUGACGGGGAAGACCAUGACCCUUCAGGUGGAGUCUUGCAACACUAUCGACAAUUUCAAGGCCAAAAUCCAGGACAAGGAGGGCAGCCUCUCGGACCAGCAACGCCUCAUCUUCGUCGGCAAGUAGUUGGAGGAUGGCCGUACCCUAGCUGAUUACAACAUCUGGAAGGAGCCAAAAAGAGUCCACAAUCCACCUCGUCCUCCGCCUCCAUGGUGCUCUCCACUAACUCUCAGCAGUUACUUGCAAUGAUGAACUAAAGGAUGGUGUCAUAGUAGAUGAAAGUUGGUUUUCAGAUCCGUUAUACUGUGAGGAGCACAAGUUAUGGUAUCAAUUAUCAAAAAUUUUGGCAGAGAAUGCUGCUUGGGAUUUCUCAAAGGAGCAUGGUAUUGACAUGAUUGCAAUUAAUCCAAGAAUGGUCAUUGGUCCAUUCUUGCAGCCUUCUGCCACUUUGAAUGCAAAAGUGAUCUUGAGCCUAGUAAAUGGUAUGUUGCUCAUUUUAGAUUUUUGGAAGAUCAUCAGCAAGAAUUGCUAAUUGGCUCAAGAACUAUAGAGAAAAUCUUAUACUUAGGAAAUGUUUCGACAACACAUUUUUUUGGGGACUUGGAUUUAUUUUGUAAAACUGCCUUGAUUAUUUGUGAAAUUUAGGCCAAAUAUCACUUAUCAAACUAUUUGUAGGGUGUUGUUGAACUUGAUUAUGAUUUUUGAAUGUUUAAAAUGAUAUUUUGGCAUUUUGUAAUGAAAUGGAUGCCUUCAUUUGUUAAUUGUAAAGCAUUGUCAUUUUUCAUUUUUUAGAUAUAAUUAUAGCAGGAAAAUCUUCAAAUUUCAUGGUGGUAAAGUGUUGUCACUGAAUUAGAUUUCACCAUUGACAACCACCUAUUGUUAUACAAUUGAAAAGUGUUUAGUGACAACAAAAGUUGUCAGUAA